GAUGAGCGCUGGCGGCGUGCCUAAUACAUGCAAGUCGAGCGAACGGACGAGAAGCUUGCUUCUCUGAUGUUAGCGGCGGACGGGUGAGUAACACGUGGAUAACCUACCUAUAAGACUGGGAUAACUUCGGGAAACCGUAGCUAAUACCGGAUAAUAUUUUGAACCGCAUGGUUCAAAAGUGAAAGACGGUCUUGCUGUCACUUAUAGAUGGAUCCGCGCUGCAUUAGCUAGUUGGUAAGGUAACGGCUUACCAAGGCAACGAUGCAUAGCCGACCUGAGAGGGUGAUCGGCCACACUGGAACGGAGACACGGUCCAGACUCCUACGGGAGGCAGCAGUAGGGAAUCUUCCGCAAUGGGCGAAAGCCUGACGGAGCAACGCCGCGUGAGUGAUGAAGGUCUUCGGAUCGUAAAACUCUGUUAUUAGGGAAGAACAUAUGUGUAAGUAACUGUGCACAUCUUGACGGUACCUAAUCAGAAAGCCACGGCUAACUACGUG
rnacentral:rRNA from 1 species